UGAUAAAAGAUGCAGGCUAAGAAAAACACAGAUUUGUCUCAAUGGCAUAUUCUUGUUUAUAAAGGAAAGGAAGAAUUGGAGAAAGAGAGUACUGAGGGGACUAUACUUGGUGACAACUUAAGCCAGCCAGACUUGGCAGAUGGAGAGAAGUUUGACAUUUCCAAAGAUCCUGAAACAGAGCUGGACACAGAGAAGCCAAAUGUGUCCGCAACAGAAGGAGAAAUGGAAGUCCCAGAGAACGGGAGUUCUGAUGAGAACAAACCUAGGAAAGGUUCGGAUCAGGAGGAUCAGGCAGAUGUGGAAAAGUUUGACUCUUCAAAGGAUUAUGCAGGAGAGCAGGACGCUGAGAAGAUCCUUGAACCAUCAGGAGAAGGUGGGUGGAUUUUUUCCAGCGUUUGCAGGUCGAAUACAUUCCAAUUAUAUAAUAACUUCUC
rnacentral:lncRNA from 1 species